rnacentral:rRNA from 2 species
GAACUCUGGUAUUGAUUGGUGCUUGCAUCAUGAUUUACAUUUGAGUGAGUGGCGAACUGGUGAGUAACACGUGGGAAACCUGCCCAGAAGCGGGGGAUAACACCUGGAAACAGAUGCUAAUACCGCAUAACAACUUGGACCGCAUGGUCCGAGUUUGAAAGAUGGCUUCGGCUAUCACUUUUGGAUGGUCCCGCGGCGUAUUAGCUAGAUGGUGGGGUAACGGCUCACCAUGGCAAUGAUACGUAGCCGACCUGAGAGGGUAAUCGGCCACAUUGGGACUGAGACACGGCCCAAACUCCUACGGGAGGCAGCAGUAGGGAAUCUUCCACAAUGGACGAAAGUCUGAUGGAGCAACGCCGCGUGAGUGAAGAAGGGUUUCGGCUCGUAAAACUCUGUUGUUAAAGAAGAACAUAUCUGAGAGUAACUGUUCAGGUAUUGACGGUAUUUAACCAGAAAGCCACGGCUAACUACGUGCCAGCAGCCGCGGUAAUACGUAGGUGGCAAGCGUUGUCCGGAUUUAUUGGGCGUAAAGCGAGCGCAGGCGGUUUUUUAAGUCUGAUGUGAAAGCCUUCGGCUCAACCGAAGAAGUGCAUCGGAAACUGGGAAACUUGAGUGCAGAAGAGGACAGUGGAACUCCAUGUGUAGCGGUGAAAUGCGUAGAUAUAUGGAAGAACACCAGUGGCGAAGGCGGCUGUCUGGUCUGUAACUGACGCUGAGGCUCGAAAGUAUGGGUAGCAAACAGGAUUAGAUACCCUGGUAGUCCAUACCGUAAACGAUGAAUGCUAAGUGUUGGAGGGUUUCCGCCCUUCAGUGCUGCAGCUAACGCAUUAAGCAUUCCGCCUGGGGAGUACGGCCGCAAGGCUGAAACUCAAAGGAAUUGACGGGGGCCCGCACAAGCGGUGGAGCAUGUGGUUUAAUUCGAAGCUACGCGAAGAACCUUACCAGGUCUUGACAUACUAUGCAAAUCUAAGAGAUUAGACGUUCCCUUCGGGGACAUGGAUACAGGUGGUGCAUGGUUGUCGUCAGCUCGUGUCGUGAGAUGUUGGGUUAAGUCCCGCAACGAGCGCAACCCUUAUUAUCAGUUGCCAGCAUUAAGUUGGGCACUCUGGUGAGACUGCCGGUGACAAACCGGAGGAAGGUGGGGAUGACGUCAAAUCAUCAUGCCCCUUAUGACCUGGGCUACACACGUGCUACAAUGGAUGGUACAACGAGUUGCGAACUCGCGAGAGUAAGCUAAUCUCUUAAAGCCAUUCUCAGUUCGGAUUGUAGGCUGCAACUCGCCUACAUGAAGUCGGAAUCGCUAGUAAUCGCGGAUCAGCAUGCCGCGGUGAAUACGUUCCCGGGCCUUGUACACACCGCCCGUCACACCAUGAGAGUUUGUAACACCCAAAGUCGGUGGGGUAACCUUUUAGGAACCAGC